AUAUUGCACAAUGGGGGAAACCCUGAUGCAGCGACGCCGCGUGAGUGAAGAAGUAAUUCGUUAUGUAAAGCUCUAUCAGCAGGGAAGAAACAGACGGUACCUGAGGAAGAAGCCCAGGCUAACUACGUGACAGCAGCCGCGGUAAUACGUAGGGGGCAAGCGUUAUCCGGAUUUACUGGGUGUAAAGGGAGCGUAGACGGCGAAUAACGUCUGAAGUGAAAGCCCGCGGCUUAACCGCGGAACUGCUUUGGAAACUUUUUUGCUGGAGUACCGGAGAGGUAAGCGGAAUUCCUAGUGUAGCGGUGAAAUGCGUAGAUAUUAGGAGGAACACCAGUGGCGAAGGCGGCUUACUGGACGGUAACUGACGUUGAGGCUCGAAAGCGUGGGGAGCAAACAGG
rnacentral:rRNA from 1 species